rnacentral:rRNA from 1 species
AGCGAACGUUGGAGGAAGGAAGAACAAAGGCAAGUCGCACGGGGGGGCUUCGGCCUCCCAGUGGCGGACGGGUGAGGAACGCGUAGGGACCUGUCGAGGGGUGGGGGAUAACCGCGGGAAACUGCGGCUAAUACCGCAUGACGCCGCGGCGUGACAGCCGGGGCCAAAGGCGAAAGCCGCCCGCCGAGGGGCCUGCGUCCGAUUAGCUGGUUGGCGGGGUAGCGGCCCACCAAGGCGUCGAUCGGUAGCUGGUCUGAGAGGGUGAUCAGCCACACCGGGACUGAGACACGGCCCGGACUCCUACGGGAGGCAGCAGUGGGGAAUAUUGGACAAUGGGCGCAAGCCUGAUCCAGCAAUGCCGCGUGGGUGAAGAAGGUCUUCGGAUUGUAAAGCCCUUUCGGCGGGGACGAUGGUGACGGUACCCGCAGAAGAAGCCCCGGCUAACCUCGUG